UCUCGGGUCCGGGCCCCUCUGGCGGCAGCGAUCAAGCUUCCGCGAUGUCGGACUCCUUGC
rfam:Skermanella aerolata KACC 11604 strain 5416T-32 contig54, whole genome shotgun sequence.